GACGAACCGUGCGAACGUUGUUCGGAUUCACUGGGCUUAAAGGGCGCGUAGGCGGGUGUCCAAGUCCGGGGUGAAAUCCUUCGGCCCAACCGGAGAACAGCCUCGGAUACUGUCGGCCUCGAGGAAGGUAGGGGCAUGCGGAACUGUAGGUGGAGCGGUGAAAUGCGUUGAUAUCUACAGGAACUCCGGUGGCGAAAGCGGCGUGCUGGACCUUUUCUGACGCUGAGGUGCGAAAGCGUGGGGAGCAAACAGG
rnacentral:rRNA from 1 species